UCCGAGUUCACCCCGGCAGUCUCCCAUAAGUCCCCACCAUAACGUGCUGGCAACAUAGGACAAGGGUUGCGCUCGUUGCGGGACUUAACCCAACAUCUCACGACACGAGCUGACGACAACCAUGCACCACCUGUACACCCCCAACCAAAUGACCUUGUAUCUCUACAAGCGCAGGGUGUAUGUCAAAUCCUGGUAAGGUUCUUCGCGUUGCAUCGAAUUAAGCCGCAUGCUCCGCCGCUUGUGCGGGCCCCCGUCAAUUCCUUUGAGUUUUAGCCUUGCGGCCGUACUCCCCAGGCGGGGCGCUUAAAGCGUUAGCUACGGCACAGAAACCACAAAGAGUCCCCACACCUAGCGCCCAACGUUUACAGCGUGGACUAC
rnacentral:misc_RNA from 1 species